UACGGAGGGGGCAAGCGUUGUUCGGAAUUACUGGGCGUAAAGAGCGCGCAGGCGGUCGUUCAAGUCGCGUGUGAAAGCCCCCGGCUCAACUGGGGAGGGUCACGCGAUACUGAUCGACUCGAAGGCAGGAGAGGGUAGUGGAAUUCCCGGUGUAGUGGUGAAAUGCGUAGAUAUCGGGAGGAACACCAGUGGCGAAGGCGACUACCUGGCCUGUUCUUGACGCUGAGGCGCGAAAGCUAGGAGAGCAAACGGG
rnacentral:rRNA from 1 species